AUGCAGUCGACGGCAGCAUAGGAGCUUGCUCCUGAUGGCGAGUGGCGAACGGGUGAGUAAUAUAUCGGAACGUGCCCUAGAGUGGGGGAUAACUAGUCGAAAGACUAGCUAAUACCGCAUACGAUCUACGGAUGAAAGUGGGGGAUCGCAAGACCUCAUGCUCCUGGAGCGGCCGAUAUCUGAUUAGCUAGUUGGUGGGGUAAAAGCCUACCAAGGCAACGAUCAGUAGCUGGUCUGAGAGGACGACCAGCCACACUGGGACUGAGACACGGCCCAGACUCCUACGGGAGGCAGCAGUGGGGAAUUUUGGACAAUGGGGGCAACCCUGAUCCAGCAAUGCCGCGUGAGUGAAGAAGGCCUUCGGGUUGUAAAGCUCUUUUGUCAGGGGGAAUGAAACGGUAGUAGCGAAUACACUAUUACUAAUGAACGGUAACUUGAAGAACUAAGCACCGGCCUAAGCUUACGUGCCAGCAGCCGCGGUAAUACGUAGGGGUGCAAGCGUUAAUCGGAAUUACUGGGGCGUAAAGCGUGCGCAGGCGGUUGUGUAAGUCAGAUGUGAAAUCCCCGGGGCUCAACCUGGGAAUUGCAUUUGAGACUGCACGGCUAGAGUGUCUCAGAGGGGGGUAGAAUUCCACGUGUAGCAGUGAAAUGCGUAGAUAUGUGGAGGAAUACCGAUGGCGAAGGCAGCCCCCUGGGAUAACACUGACGCUCAUGCACGAAAGCGUGGGGAGCAAACAGGAUUAGAUACCCUGGUAGUCCACGCCCUAAACGAUGUCUACUAGUUGUCGGGUCUUAAUUGACUUGGUAACGCAGCUAACGCGUGAAGUAGACCGCCUGGGGGAGUACGGUCGCAAGAUUAAAACUCAAAGGAAUUGACGGGGACCCGCACAAGCGGUGGAUGAUGUGGAUUAAUUCGAUGCAACGCGAAAAACCUUACCUACCCCUUGACAUGGAUGGAAUCCCGAAGAGAUUUUGGGAGUGCUCGAAAGAGAAACCAUCACACAGGUGCUGCAUGGCUGUCGUCAGCUUCGUGGUCGUGAGAUUGUUGGGGUUAAAGUUCCCCGACCAUACGAGCGCAACCCUUGUCAUUAGUUGCUACGAAAGGGCACUCUAAUGAGACUGCCGGUGACAAACCGGAGGAAGGUGGGGAUGACGUCAAGUCCUCAUGGCCCUUAUGGGUAGGGCUUCACACGUCAUACAAUGGUACAUACAGAGGGCCGCCAACCCGCGAGGGGGAGCUAAUCCCAGAAAGUGUAUCGUAGUCCGGAUUGGAGUCUGCAACUCGACUCCAUGAAGUUGGAAUCGCUAGUAAUCGCGGAUCAGCAUGUCGCGGUGAAUACGUUCCCGGGUCUUGUACACACCGCCCGUCACACCAUGGGAGCGGGUUUUACCAGAAGUGGGUAGCCUAACCGCAAGGAGGGCGCUCACCACGGUAGGAUU
rnacentral:rRNA from 1 species